rnacentral:rRNA from 1 species
AUUGAACGCUAGCGGGAUGCCUUACACAUGCAAGUCGAACGGAGUGGCGAACGGGUGAGUAAUGUAUCGGAACGUGCCCGGUAGCGGGGGAUAACUACGCGAAAGCGUAGCUAAUACCGCAUACUAUUAGAGCGGCCGGUAUCGGAUUAGCUAGUUGGUGGGGUAAAGGCCUACCAAGGAGACGAUCCGUAGCUGGUUGGAGAGGACGACCAGCCACACUGGGACUGAGACACGGCCCAGACUCCUACGGGAGGCAGCAGUGGGGAAUUUUGGACAAUGGGGGCAACCCUGAUCCAGCCAUCCCGCGUGUGCGAGGAAGGUCUUCGGGUUGUAAAGCACUUUUGGUUGGAAAGCGGUACCUGCAGAAUAAGCACCGGCUAACUUCGUGCCAGCAGCCGCGGUAAUUC